AGAGUUUGAUUCUGGCUCAGGACGAACGCUGGCGGCGUGCUUAACACAUGCAAGUCGAACGAUGAAGCCUAGCUUGCUAGGUGGAUUAGUGGCGAACGGGUGAGUAAUACGUGAGUGACCUACCUUUGACUCUGGGAUAAGCCUGGGAAACUGGGUCUAAUACCGGAUACGACCAAUCUCCGCAUGGGGUGUUGGUGGAAAGCGUUAUGGAGUGGUUUUAGAUGGGCUCACGGCCUAUCAGCUUGUUGGUGAGGUAAUGGCUUACCAAGGCGACGACGGGUAGCCGGCCUGAGAGGGUGACCGGCCACACUGGGACUGAGACACGGCCCAGACUCCUACGGGAGGCAGCAGUGGGGAAUAUUGCACAAUGGGCGCAAGCCUGAUGCAGCGACGCCGCGUGAGGGAUGACGGCCUUCGGGUUGUAAACCUCUGUUAGCAUCGAAGAAGCGAAAGUGACGGUAGGUGCAGAGAAAGCGCCGGCUAACUACGUGCCAGCAGCCGCGGUAAUACGUAGGGCGCGAGCGUUGUCCGGAAUUAUUGGGCGUAAAGAGCUUGUAGGCGGUUGGUCGCGUCUGCCGUGAAAUCCUCUGGCUUAACUGGGGGCGUGCGGUGGGUACGGGCUGACUUGAGUGCGGUAGGGGAGACUGGAACUCCUGGUGUAGCGGUGGAAUGCGCAGAUAUCAGGAAGAACACCGGUGGCGAAGGCGGGUCUCUGGGCCGUUACUGACGCUGAGGAGCGAAAGCGUGGGGAGCGAACAGGAUUAGAUACCCUGGUAGUCCACGC
rnacentral:rRNA from 1 species